UGGGGAAUAUUGGACAAUGGGGGCAACCCUGAUCCAGCCAUGCCGCGUGAGUGAUGAAGGCCUUCGGGUUGUAAAGCUCUUUUGGCGGGGACGAUGAUGACGGUACCCGCAGAAUAAGCCCCGGCUAACUUCGUGCCAGCAGCCGCGGUAAGACGAAGGGGGCUAGCGUUGUUCGGAAUUACUGGGCGUAAAGCGAGUGUAGGCGGUUGCCGUAGUCAGGUGUGAAAGCCUUGAGCUCAACUCAAGAAAUGCACUUGAUACUGGGUGACUAGAGGACCGGAGAGGAUAGUGGAAUUCCCAGUGUAGUGGUGAAAUACGUAGAGAUUGGGAAGAACACCAGUGGCGAAGGCGGCUAUCUGGACGGUUACUGACGCUAAGACUCGAAAGCGUGGGGAGCAAACAGGAUUAGAUACCCUGGUAGUCCACGCCGUAAACGAUGGGUGCUAGACGUUGGCGAGCUUGCUCGUCAGUGUCGCAGCUAACGCGUUAAGCACCCCGCCUGGGGAGUACGGCCCGCAAGGGUUGAAACUCAAAAGGAAUUGACGGGGUCAUAGCUGUUUCCU
rnacentral:rRNA from 1 species